rnacentral:rRNA from 1 species
CAUCCUACGGGACGCAGCAGUAGGGAAUCUUCCACAAUGGACGAAAGUCUGAUGGAGCAACGCCGCGUGAGUGAAGAAGGGUUUCGGCUCGUAAAGCUCUGUUUGUAGUGAAGAAAGAUUGAGGUAGUAACUGGCCUUUAUUUUACGGUAAUUACUUUGAAAGUCCCGGCUAACUACGUGCCCGCAUCCGCGGUAAUACGUAUGUGGCAAGCGUUGUCCGGAUUUAUUUGGCGUAAAGCGAGUGCAGGCGGUU